AAUGCUCAUAAAAAGGACAAGAGCGAGAGAGCUGUAUGGAAAUUUACACAAAGGGUCAGUUAACGGAGUAAGCUGAUAUGGAGGAUAAUUAAUAUAUCAAAGGCAGCAUAGGCGUCCAAACUCCUGUUCAAGGUGCUUUUAAUCAGAAGCUUAAGAGACAAAAGACGAGCCAUUGACAAGGCAAAACUGAAUGUUUUAUAUGAAAUUGAGCAAGAAAAGUUUGAAGUGUCUUUGGGAAUGAUCAACAUCAAAAUUGCUGAGCUUUUGAAGCCGUCGUACCAAAAGUGAAUCCAUUCGUGACACCAAUUAUCUGACCACCCUCUAACAGAACCAGGGAGGAAGUGAUUCUAGCCAAUACUUCAGAAGUUUAGGACCCUCAAUAAUUAGGAUCUUGGGGCAUGUUUUAUGUUGUACAUAAUUAUGUUGCAUGUUAACAUAAUUUAUCUUGCAUGUAGGGGGCAGAAAUUUGCCACCAUACCGACCUCCCCUGGCUUACAAAACAUCAUAACACAGACGGAGAGGUCGUAAGGUUAAGUUACGAUUUUUGUUUUGACGUCACAAACAUUGAACACCGUGCAAGUAAUUCAUGCUCACAUUGAACAUUUAUAGCUCUUCCAUUAAUUGUUACUUACCCGAAGGAUAAUACAGGGAUUUUGAAAUAUAAAUCACAUUUGCAGAGAAGGUCGGGAAUUGAAAAAUGAAAAUUUAAAUAAGUAUUAAAUUGUCUUAUAAAUGCAUGCAAACAAAUUCAGUAACACACAUUUGUUUGCACACACCAUUGCAAU